rnacentral:rRNA from 1 species
UGGGGAAUAUUGGGCAAUGGGGGAAACCCUGACCCAGCAACGCCGCGUGAAGGAAGAAGGCUUUCGGGUUGUAAACUUCUUUUACCAGGGACGAAGGACGUGACGGUACCUGGAGAAAAAGCCACGGCUAACUACGUGCCAGCAGCCGCGGUAAUACGUAGGUGGCAAGCGUUGUCCGGAUUUACUGGGUGUAAAGGGCGUGUAGGCGGAGAAGCAAGUCAGAAGUGAAAUCCAUGGGCUUAACCCAUGAACUGCUUUUGAAACUGUUUCCCUUGAGUAUCGGAGAGGCAGGCGGAAUUCCUAGUGUAGCGGUGAAAUGCGUAGAUAUUAGGAGGAACACCAGUGGCGAAGGCGGCCUGCUGGACGACAACUGACGCUGAGGCGCGAAAGCGUGGGGAGCAAACAGGA